rnacentral:lncRNA from 1 species
AUGCAUUUCUGGUGCCUCUGGAGGUCAGAGAAAGGCACCAGAUCCCCUGAAGUUGGAGUUAUAGAUGAUUGUGAGCCACCACGUGGGGGCCGGGAAUCAAACAUGGGUCCUCUGCAUGAGCAACAAGUACUCAACCACUAAACCAUUGUCCCAGACUCUCGGUCACUGAUUUCCACAGUCAAGUUCAUCUCCUCAGUUCACCCUUCUUCCGCAGCCUCCUUAUGGUGAAAUGUUGAUUGAACUACCUGCUUCUAUUGACACCCUUCAGGGUUUUAAAUACACCUACGCAUUAUAGCAGCUGUUUUGUAUGCCAAACAUCUAGAUGUCGUUUUCUUACAAGGCUGAAAUCAGUUUCAGCCAGACUGUUCUGAUCCAAAGGCCUUGAAGGAGGAAACGGUGCUCACUGACAAUCCGUUUCCUUGCAGCUGUCUGGCUAGGAUUUCUGUUUUCUUGCUACAUUUCCACCAGGAAUUGCUCUCACAUCCUAGGAAUGCUUUAGCCUGUGGCUUCUUCAGGAAGGCCUCACAGUACAUAUCAUGUGUUUCUUCAAGGGCGAGCAGUAGAAACUCUCAAAGCUACUAAGGAAUCUUAUGUAACUUAACUAUAGUAUUAGGAGCACAAUACAUUAUGCUUUGGAUGAGGCAUCUUAUCGAUAAGCAGACUUGAAACUUACUCUGGAUUGUUAACUGGUAAGAUUGGCAGUGACCUGGGAUAAGGAUGUCUGGGCAUUCCUAUCCCGUGUGGCUGGUAGGCCAUGCCCACACUCAAAGCAAGGGGAUAUAGAUAAUUCAGGAUAUCACGCAUGAACUGACAUGAUUUGGGAAGGAAUCUUGGAGGUCAUUUUAUAGUCACUUGUUCAUUUUUUGCUGUUAUGAUGUAUAUCCAUAGGUGAUCAUAUUGACAAACAGGAAACUCGAUAAAGAAAGUAAUGUUAUUAAAACACAGUAUCAAGUGGGUUCAGGCUUGCUUCUUCUGCCUUCUCUUCUGCAAACACAGUACCAUCCUGGAAUACGACCUAAUCAUCUCUUAUGAUGAAGGGAGUGAAGAAAGUAUUUUUUGUAGUUUUUUUUUUGUAGUUUAAUUCCAUAUUAAGAUAUCUUGAAUCUUUUAUUGAUGAGAACUGAGCCAAAAUGAAAAUAUUAAUCAGAACUCUUAGGAAUAUAAAUGGACAAAAGAAGAAUUGGUUUUCUUAAAAUACUUGAAGCAUUCCAUCUAAAUCUAUUUAAAGUAUUGUUCUAUUCUAAAGAAUUUUGGAAACUAUGCAGGAAAUCAAAUAUCUAAGAUAUCCAAGUAGACCACUGUAACAUAUAUAUUCUGUUUCUGAAACAUCAACAAAUAUCAGGGUGUAUAUUUGUUUGGUUUUGUCAAUAUUUUAUUUCAAUAGUUAUUUCUAAAUUAAAGAUGUAUAUUUCAGAUACUAUUAAUUUAAUAUGUGAUGAUGUAUGGCAACUUAAACUUUAGUAGACACAUUUUUUUUUAAAAAAAGCAACUACAGAUUGUUACAUCUUGAUAAAUUGUUAUUGAACACUGUAAUAUCCUUAAUAUCUUGGCACCGAUUGACAGAAUAUACUCAUGAUACAAAGUCAUGAGUCUGGGACUUAGAGUGGCCAUGUCUUAGUUCUUUGGUUGUUUGAAUGACUUUCACCAACUUCCUGUCGCAUAUCUGUGUUCUCCUGAGUCAUGCACAACUGGAUUAAUGUUCCUUCACUGCCCUAACCCAUGAAUGCCUUGUGCUUCUUGCUCCAUGCCUGUACUUUUUCUCUCAACCAUAGCCCAUGGACAUGAAAUGACUUCUCAAAAGCCAUUAAUACAUGUCACAAGUAAAUGUUCAAAGUGGACUGUGCUAUAAGAGAAGUAGGUAUUUUCUUCUCUGCAAUUCAGUAUCGGUUAGAGCAGAAAGUACUGCCUUGGAAAAAAAGACAUUGCAGAUGUUUACAAUUCAACUGAAAGAGCUAUGGAAGAGUCAGAGUCCCUCUUGCCAUUGUAGCUUUUUAAACGUGCAAGUCUCAAACACACACUUAGGAGAAGAAGAUGAAGAGAAAAAUAGAUAUCUAAAUUGCCCAACUUAAAUCACUUCCUGGGCACCCGUGACAUUCUGUGCCUUACCUUAUACUCCUGCUACACUGCUAUAGUACUUUCUGGUCACUCUCGUCUUUAUUCAAAUAGGAAGGCAUUCUUUGACACUUCUUCGGCAGAUAUUGUUUAUGACUCUUUAAAAACACAAUCCAGAUGUUACUCCCUAGAAUUCAGGCUGCAUUUGCAUUUCCAGAAGGGAAAUAGAGAGAGCUUGUAAGGAAAGUAUUGCUCAUUCUCCCGCAGCAUAAAAUACUCAUGAAAUCUCUAAACAAGAGCGUGAGUCAGAGCAAGAAGCACAAAACAAGGCACAGAGUUGAUGCUGUUCUAAGAAUUGUAAGAUUUAUGAUGUUAAUUUGAAACUUUAAAAGUUUGUUCAUUUUUGCAGUACUUAGUCUUGCUAGAUACGUCUUUGUUUUUGUGCAUAGAGUGUGUAAUAAGAUCAACUUGGAUGAGGAUCAUUACUAGUUUGGGAACUUUGAGACAAAGCCACUUAAAAUCUUUGAGGCCAAAGGACAUAAUGACUAUAUUGAAGAGCUGUUAUAGACAUACAGGCCCUGAAUUGAACAAUGCCAGCAGUUAGCAUGCACAAGAAAGAACCACAAGGCCCAGUGGAAAGAGUCUUGGGACAAGCUGAAGCUGCUACAGUAGUCAAGGAAUGUGAAAGAGCAUAGUAGUAGAUAUGCAUUUAAUCUUUAAGUAAAAUACAUGCAGAAUUGAAGUCUGUCACAUCAACACUUAUCAUAAAAGGCCAUCCCAGGAAAGAGUAACAAGCAUGUUUGUUAAUGUGCCAUUCAAGGUGGCUAAGGGGAGGAUUUAGCCUCUAUGGGCAAAACACAAAGAUCAAUGUACACAUCAGUAUCACUGUAUUCAUUCAAUGGCUUUCAGACUGAACCAGGUCCAUCUGAGAAUGAUUUUAAUUAUGACUUGCCUUCUCCUCAAGAACUGAUAGUAACUCUGAUUGAAUCAGGGACUGCAUGAGAAGGAGAAACUGGAUUAUCAGUAGUAACUUUUGUAUAGCACAAAUGAUAGUUACUUUCUCUUUGAUAUCCUAAAUCCUUAAACUUUUUCUCAGAUCCAAAGAGCCAAAAUAUGAACUAUGGAAGCUUAUCCUAGCCUGGUGAGUCUGACUGAUCCUCCCCACUCCUCAUAUCCAUUUCAGCUCCCAGAACUAGUCCCAGACUCCAACCCAGGACCAGGAAUCCUAUAUGAAAUGGGCAGUCCUGAAGAUCCACCCAUACAAGCAGCAUUAUGCAGAUUGAACAGAUUGUAUUUAUAUUUUAGGGACACACAUGCACACACACAAACAAUGACUAGUUAUUCCUGUGUCCAGUCAACAAAUGUACUAAAUGAAUUAGAUAAAAGUAAGUGAUUUCUACUUAGGGGAUUGCAUUUUUAAAAACCAAGAAUAAUGAAUAAAUAACAUUUUCUUCAUGGUUUUCAGUAUUUAAGAAUCAAUACAGAGUAGGCUAAUAAAGCAGUAAAAAAGUUUAUACUAAAGAGGGAUGGAGGAAAGAGAACCAUCUUAGGAUUUAGAGUGUUGGAGAGGUUCCCCCAAUAUCCUCAAAGUUGUUAGCGUAUUUGAGGGUGGAAAUGUCAGGAACCAAUGCCUUUGACUAACUGUAGAAAUUAAUUAACUGUAGGAAGCCACAAAAAGAUAACUUGCUAUUAGUUGUCUUUACGCCUUGGAAAAGCAAAAGCCAUUCUGAACACAUUCAGGGUAGAAGCAUUUUUGCUUUGAAGACUAUGAUAGAUGGUAGAUAUUUCAAAGUUAGUAAUGUGUGGAUAAACAUCUUUGAUGAAGUAAUAUUUCUAGACUUUACUUAUCUAAAUAAAUGCCUAUACAUUAAGCC